UGCUGACCAGCUUCAGUCACAAAGGAGCCAGUGUCCCACAGCACAGAGGAAAACGGUUAUCAGUGAUUGAUGAGUCCUCCUUUCUGUCACACUCUGACAUUAGUUAUGACAGAACGGAUGAUGAUUUGGACUUGGACAACACUGCGUUUGUUAAGCCUCUCAAGUCAAGAGCUCGUGAGAGAAGA